AGCAGCCGCGGUAAUUCCAGCUCCAAUAGCGUAUAUUAAAGUUGUUGCAGUUAAAAAGCUCGUAGUUGAAUUUCGGGAUCAAUAUGUCGGUCGUGCCUCGGUACGUACUGGCAUCAUUGGUUUCUCCCUUCUGAUGAACCAUGAUGCCAUUAAUUUGGUGUCGUGGGGAAUCAGGACUGUUACUUUGAAAAAUUAGAGUGUUUAAAGCAGGCUCACGCUUGAAUACAUUAGCAUGGAAUAAUGAAAUAGGACGCUUGAUUCUAUUUUGUUGGUUUCUAGGAUCGACGUAAUGAUUAAUAGGGAUAGUUGGGGGCAUUAGUAUUCAAUUGUCAGAGGUGAAAUUCUUGGAUUUAUUGAAGACUAACUACUGCGAAAGCAUUUGCCAAGGAUGUUUUCAUUAAUCAAGAACGAAAGUUAGGGGAUCGAAGACGAUCAGAUACCGUCGUAGUC
rnacentral:rRNA from 1 species